rnacentral:lncRNA from 1 species
UCUGCUUCUCGGGGCUGACGGUGUCCUCCCCAAGGAAGGCGUGCUGGAGCCCCGACCGCCGGCCCCUCCGAACGGGGGCGUGUUUGGGCCAGGGCCUUCGAAGAGGUGACUGAGGUCAGAUUCGGGGGUCAGUGCGGGCCCCAGUUCACUGUGACUGGCGUUUGGACUCGGGCACACGCACAGCGAACACCACGUGCGCACAGAACACUGUCCCCCGGGCAGGUGCUCCCUCGCGGCCGCACCUCCGUCCCAGGCAUCCUGCUCCCAGAACUAAGACCCUCAACACCUGCUGUGUCAGCGUCCGGUCUGCGGUCUGCCGGUCUGCCGUCCGGCAGCCCCAGGACACCGCCACGCCCUUCACCUUUGGGGCCGGGCCACUUUGUAUGCAGAGUGUUUCUGAAGCCCAGCCAUCCUGGGGAGCCUCACGCAGUAGGAGGCACGGGAAACAUCACGGGGUUGUGCUCGGAGGCCCGGAGCCGCCUGCUGGCCUCCCCCAGGGCUGGGGCCCCGUGGCUGGUGACUCAGGACCCCGACGUGUCCUCAGACCCAGAGCAUCAGGCCACAGGGGUUCACUCCCACCCACGCCUCCCCCCCCACCAGGCGCAGAGACGAGGGUGUCCAGAGCUGCCUCCCGUCCACUUUCGCCGGCUGAGACUCCGUCAGGGACCCGGUUACGGGGCGCUGCCUCGUCGGGCCCUGCGCUGGGCGAACGGGGGUCUCCCCAAAACAGCCAGUGUCCACCCAGACACUGAGUGCGACCUUAUUUGGAAAAAGUCUUUGCAGACGUGGUUAAUGGUUUGAGAUGAGGUCAUCUGGUUUGGGAUGGGCCCCAAUCCAGUGACAAGGGUCCUUAGAAGAGAAGACACAGAGAAGUCACGUGACAACGGGAGCCAAGAGCGGAGAGACGCAGUCACCAGGAAGCCAGGGGCCCCCAGGGCACGAAGACCCUCUCCUGGAGCCUCCAGACGGCGCGAGGCCCGCUGACCUCAGGCUCUGGCCCGCA